rnacentral:rRNA from 1 species
UACGGGGGGUGCGAGCGUUGUCCGGAAUCACUGGGCGUAAAGGGCGCGUAGGUGGCGCGGGAAGUCAACGGUGAAAGUUCGGGGCUCAACCCUGAAUCGGCCGUCGAUACUCCCGGGCUCGAGCACUGUAGAGGCAGAUGGAAUUCCGGGUGUAGCGGUGGAAUGCGUAGAGAUCCGGAAGAACACCGGUGGCGAAGGCGGUCUGCUGGGCAGUUGCUGACACUGAUGCGCGACAGCGUGGGGAGCAAACAGG